rnacentral:rRNA from 1 species
GACGAACGCUGGCGGCGUGCUUAACACAUGCGAGUCGAACGGAAAGGCCCUGCUUUUGUGGGGUGCUCGAGUGGCGAACGGGUGAGUAACACGUGAGUAACCUGCCCUUGACUUUGGGAUAACUUCAGGAAACUGGGGCUAAUACCGGAUAGGAGCUCCUGCUGCAUGGUGGGGGUUGGAAAGUUUCGGCGGUUGGGGAUGGACUCGCGGCUUAUCAGCUUGUUGGUGGGGUAGUGGCUUACCAAGGCUUUGACGGGUAGCCGGCCUGAGAGGGUGACCGGCCACAUUGGGACUGAGAUACGGCCCAGACUCCUACGGGAGGCAGCAGUGGGGAAUAUUGCACAAUGGGCGGAAGCCUGAUGCAGCAACGCCGCGUGCGGGAUGACGGCCUUCGGGUUGUAAACCGCUUUCGCCUGUGACGAAGCGUGAAUGACGGUAAUGGGUAAAGAAGCACCGGCUAACUACGUG